rnacentral:lncRNA from 1 species
CUGGCUUCUCCAAGGGCCAUGUAAAUAAGUAGUUGAAUAUCAGAACACAAUCAUUUCCUGUUCUAAUAAAAAUAUAUAGGAGAGAAAAAAAUCUGUAAUUCUUGAUAGGCCAUUUUACACUGACUUUAUUCGUCAAUCAAGUAAUUUCCAUGAGUUUUUACAGGUCUUUUAAGUAUAGAUUGAAGAUAAAUGUUUUAGAGCUAUUAUCAGUCUUGGAAAAGUGCUUUGACUUUUCUAGAAAUUAG